rnacentral:rRNA from 1 species
GUAGGUGGCAAGCGUUGUCCGGAAUUAUUGGGCGUAAAGCGCGCGCAGGCGGUUCUUUAAGUCUGAUGUGAAACGCCCACGGCUCAACCGUGGAGGGUCAUUGGAAACUGGAGAACUUGAGUACAGAAGAGGAAAGCGGAAUUCCACGUGUAGCGGUGAAAUGCGUAGAGAUGUGGAGGAACACCAGUGGCGAAGGCGGCUUUCUGGUCUGUAACUGACGCUGAGGCGCGAAAGCGUGGGGAGCAAACAGGAUUAGAUACCCUGGUAGUCCACGCCGUAAACGAUGAGUGCUAAGUGUUAGGGGGUUUCCGCCCCCUUAGUGCUGCAGCUAACGCAUUAAGCACUCCGCCUGGGAGUCGGCCGCAAGGCUG